rnacentral:rRNA from 2 species
GCAAGGGGAGCGGCAGACGGGUGAGUAACGCGUGGGAACGUACCUUUUGCUACGGAAUAACUCAGGGAAACUUGUGCUAAUACCGUAUGUGCCCUUCGGGGGAAAGAUUUAUCGGCAAAGGAUCGGCCCGCGUUGGAUUAGCUAGUUGGUGAGGUAAAGGCUCACCAAGGCGACGAUCCAUAGCUGGUCUGAGAGGAUGAUCAGCCACACUGGGACUGAGACACGGCCCAGACUCCUACGGGAGGCAGCAGUGGGGAAUAUUGGACAAUGGGCGCAAGCCUGAUCCAGCCAUGCCGCGUGAGUGAUGAAGGCCCUAGGGUUGUAAAGCUCUUUCACCGGUGAAGAUAAUGACGGUAACCGGAGAAGAAGCCCCGGCUAACUUCGUGCCAGCAGCCGCGGUAAUACGAAGGGGGCUAGCGUUGUUCGGAUUUACUGGGCGUAAAGCGCACGUAGGCGGACUUUUAAGUCAGGGGUGAAAUCCCGGGGCUCAACCCCGGAACUGCCUUUGAUACUGGAAGUCUUGAGUAUGGUAGAGGUGAGUGGAAUUCCGAGUGUAGAGGUGAAAUUCGUAGAUAUUCGGAGGAACACCAGUGGCGAAGGCGGCUCACUGGACCAUUACU